UUUUAAGAGCUACAAGGAAGUAUUCAAUCCUGCCACAUUUCUGCAUACUUAUAGGGAGAAAGGAUGGAUACUUUCAUUAUUGCUGUUAUCAGAAGAAAAAGGACCUUAAGGAAAAGAAGGACCAAGCCUGGAUGUUUCCACUGUUCAAUCUCCAGCACUCAGUCCAGUUUUAGAGGAGAACAGACCCUCAACAUAUACUUGCUGGUUGAGAAAAGAGAGGCCUUCUCAGUACCACAGGAAGAGUCUAGGGAGGUGAGUACAAAAUGGCGGCCACAGAUUCUUCACAAGGGGGAAGAGAUUCCUUGGCCUGCUGACCUUUGCCCCCUCUCCAGCCACCCCUGAAGAUUCCAUUCCAAGUCCUGGCACCAUCAGAUAGUGAACUUUUUGAUGGAGGCUUCCCACUUGCAGCAGAGAAGGCCCUCCACUCCACCCACAGAAGGCCUGCUUCUCCCAGCUCCCCAGGCCUCACUCCUUGCGUGGUGCCUCCCGUCCAUUUUCCAGUCUGGGGCCGUGUCUGCUCUUGGAGUCAGGAGGGGAAUGUCUGCGCCUUCUGCAGAGACACAGCGAGGGAACAUGACGUCUCCCUCUGGCCCCAACCCCGAGCGUCAUUGGUGUUGGCCUGAGAUCAAAGCCGCUGUUCCAUUUUUAACCUCGGUAGGGCCCCACCUCACCCUGAGCAUGUGUUCCUGACAUUUCAUUGUGAGCCAGGGGAAUAAACAAAACCCACCCCCUGAGUCUAGCGAAGGACGCCUUCAGGGGAGCUCUGAACUCGGCGAGGCAGAUAAGUGUUUUUCCCACCGAGGGCCCCCCUUGUGCACUGCGGUUUUUCCUGAGCUUACAUGACACCACCGUAAGGGAGAUGGAUGGCUUUAUUUUUGUGCAGAACAAAUGUACAGAUGGUGACCCCCGACCAAAAAAAAAAAAGAAAAAAACUUAGUGUGCAGAGGCAGGGAGGAGGAGGCAGGGAGGAGGAGGCAGGGGGAGUCCAUGUUGGCCUCUCCUCUCCCUAUCUUUUCACUUCUCCUGGGUCUCCCGAAAAUGUCACCAAAGUCUCCAUCUGUGGUUAUUGGGGAUAUUGACAGGAGCCCAUUUUAUUUUCAAAUUAUCUGUUCUUUGAGGUAAAAAUAAAGACAUGCUUUUAGAAUUUUCAAGCAAUUAAAAAAAGAUAUAAGGAAGAAAGAUAUGUCUGGUACAAAUUAGAACUCAAUAAAUACUUGUGGAAGGAAGGAAAGAAAAAAAUCCCUCCAAACUCCACCACUAUCAAUAUUUUGCUGAGCAUCCUUCUAUAUAUUUAUGUGUAUUCCAACUAUGUAACAAACAGGAUCAUACUAUAUUCAUGUAUAAUAUAUUCGUAUUUUCUAUAUAUGCGUAAUAAAUGCAGUACAAUUGCUACUAUAG
rnacentral:lncRNA from 1 species